rnacentral:lncRNA from 1 species
AAGAACCUCAUCCACACGGCGCCUCAUUCACUGAGUAACUCCAAUUCUUUCCAUUUUCAAAUUAACAAAAAGAAAAGAUGGAUGGAAGUUGAUUUUCCAUAAUACAAUAGCCACAUUUUGCCACCGUAAAUCAUUCCUCUAUACACCAUAAAGUAGCAGCCAAAUCACUCCUUUCAACAUGUAAAAAACAAGUCUAACUUUUCCAUUUUUUUGCACCUCCUCUUGGUCGUGCACCACCCUUUGCAUGCAUCAAAAGCCGCAACCACUUCCAUUCACAAGAAUAUUUCAAGAACAACUUCAAAUAAGAAGAAAAAAAAAAGAGUAAAAAAUGGAAGUAUGAAUCUGAAAUCGAUCUCGUCGCAACUUUGUUCUUCGCUUUCAACCCACCGUGGUUCCGUCUCAACUAACCUCUCUUUUAAACUGCCAAUACACCUGUGUGAAAUGUAGAUUCAUCGUCACUCUCAUCCACACCCCUUUUCCGAUUGACUUUCAUACUAGGAUUCUUUAGAUCAAGUGUUUCAUCAAGUUAACAUUUUUUUGCUAUGACAAAGUUAUGAAAAGGCAUGAUAAGAAGAAAAAAAUCAGAGGGUGACAAGGUUAAUAAUGGAGUAGAUGCAGUUAACCCAGUUUGAGUCAAAGCUUUUAACUCUUGAAUCAACAAAGAAAAAUGCUAAGUGGUAACCGUUAAUCUCUAAUUCUUUUACUCUUUGUGUUCUAAUUAUUGAUAAGUAUUAUUUUUAUUAUUAAUUGGUUUCUAAUUUGAAGAAUAGAAUGUGCUGGAUAUAUUGCCUUUGUAUGGUCUAAUAUUCAUUUGAAAUAAUGUGUGUAGAGUGAUAGGUUUGGUUUAUUAUAUAAAAGUGUCUUUAUGUUGUUGUUGUGUAGUUAAUAUGCGUAAAUAUUGUGGAAUAUGGACACAUUGGUUUAUUGCAA